rnacentral:rRNA from 2 species
CCUAUGGGACGCAGCAGGCGCGAAAACUUUACAAUGCGGGAAACCGUGAUAAGGGAACUCCGAGUGUCCGUAAAUGCGGACUGUCCGUAUGUUUAAAAAGCAUGCGAAGAAAGGGCCGGGCAAGACCGGUGCCAGCCGCCGCGGUAAUACCGGCGGCUCGAGUGGUGGCCACUAUUAUUGGGCUUAAAGCGUUCGUAGCUGGGUUAUUAAGUCUCUUGGGAAAUCUACCGGCUUAACCGAUAGGCGUCCAAGGGAUACUGGUAAUCUAGGGACCGGGAGAGGUGAGGGGUACUUCAAGGGUAGGAGUGAAAUCCUGUAAUCCUUGGGGGACCACCUGUGGCGAAGGCGCCUCACCAGAACGGCUCCGACAGUGAGGGACGAAAGCUGGGGGAGCAAACCGGAUUAGAUACCCUGGUAGUCC